CACCGAUUUUAGGUUUUGGUUUUUCCCAACACUUCCGAGUUGCAAUAUGUGUAGUUUAUUCUUCGUUCAGGAUUUUGAGCAUUGCAAUGGAUUUCAUGGUGACAAUGGGGAUUCCAGGGUAACAGGGAGAGAGAGGGAGAGAUGUUCGAUUCGGAUCGAACAACCUUCCUCUUCUUCUAAAGUUGCAGGUUCCAAUUAUUGAAAGGCACGAUCGAUGGCUGGAAAGUUGGAAUAAAGAAAACCUUGGUUUUCUAUAUUGGAGGCGCUCCAAGAUAAAUUGGCAUAACAUAUUUCAGAACCAAUAAGGAAGAACGGCUGCAUUUGGAUCAUUGGGUUCUCUGUCGGAUAUACGAGAAAAGCUUAAGCAUCCAAAAAUCGGUGUCGGGUGUUUGGAAGAAAGAACCGAACCAUGCUUGUACAUCUUCAUCGUCUUCCUAAUUAGAUGACAUCCUUCAAUCGCUCCCUGAAAUUUGAUGACCAGUUCUUCGAUCUCCCAAGGAUUAACUCAAUUGAGAACCUUCAAUUUCAAGAUGAGAAAAAGGCCCACCCCAUUUGAGAAUUACAUGUAUUUCAUGAUCAGAUGAGGAUUUCACCGGUAAUACGGUCUUUCCCUAUUUAAAGCUAAUAGUAUACUCACACAGUCAAUACCAAGGGAAGGGGACGUAAUUCGUUCAAACCCUUGGAUUUAUGUGUAAUUUUGACAUACUACAGGGAGGGGGACGUAAUUUUCUCUAAUUAUUAUAUAUGUGAAAAAAAUGGUUCCUACUCACCAAUAGUAGGAACCUGGACUACAUGCCCACUUUAAAUAUCACCA